rnacentral:tRNA from 1 species
GGCACUAUGGCGGAGUGGUUAUCGCGUGGCACUCGAACUCUCAGCCCGGUUCGAGGGGAAGAUCCUCCCCACUCAGCAAAGAUGAAUGCUAUUCCCCCUGGGAGCACAGGUUCGAUUCCUGUUGGUGUCG